CAAGCCGUAAACGAUGCAGACUCGGUGUCCACUCUCGCAAGGGAGGGGGCGCCACAGCUAACGCGAUAAGUCUGCCGCCUGGGGAGUACGGUCGCAAGACUAAAACUCAAAGGAAUUGACGGGGGCCCGCACAAGCAGCGGAGCGUGUGGUUUAAUUCGAGGCUACACGAAGAACCUUACCCGGGUUUGACAUAGGCGUAGUAGCGAGCCGAAAGGUGAGCGACCGCAAGGAGCGUCUACAGGUGC
rnacentral:rRNA from 1 species